UAUAAGAUAAGCUAUUCAAGCUAACGGGCUCAUACCUCGUCGAAAGUUAACCUUCUUAUAA
rnacentral:tRNA from 1 species